UUCGUCACCAUAUUCUAGGAAACACCAUCAUAUUAUCUAUACAUCAUAACCAUUUUCCGUCAAAUUCUAAACGCCCGAGCUUUUAGUACGGAGGAGGUGGGUAUUGUCCUGGGUAUGGACCUGGAAACAAGAAGAAACAAGAUCAACCACCAUUCAAAAUAGUUAGUGAACAGCAAGCGCUAUCAAUUGAAGCACAUACAUGAAAAAGAAAGGACAAUUAUUGUACCUUGUGAGUAAUACGAAGGUUGAGGAGGGUAUGGAGGAGGAGGGUAAGUUGAGGAUGGUGGAGGAGGAGGGUAAGCUGAAGGUACCGGAGGGUAAGCCGAGGUUGACGGAGGAGGAGGAUACGCAGAUGGCUGAGGAGGAUAGGCUGAAGCUGGUGGGUAUCCUGAUGGCUGUGGGUAUUGUUGUACUUGUGGGUAUAGAGAUGGUCCAGUGUAUGGUGCUGAUGAGUACGGAGAUGCAGAAGGAGGUGCUGAUGAAUACGGAGAUGCAGAAGGGGGUGCUGAGUAUUGAGGCACUUGAGGCGCAUAUGGAGCUGAUGGAGCAGCCGCAUAAUUAUGUUUCUGCAUACAAGAAUGGAUUGUAUGUUUAGACUUUUGUUUAUAAUGUAACAUGUAAAACAAUGUUGUUUAACUGAGUCUCAGACUUUACCUUU
rnacentral:lncRNA from 1 species